rnacentral:rRNA from 1 species
AACGAACGCUGGCGGUAUGCUUAACACAUGCAAGUCAAACGAACAAAAUUGGGGCUUGCUCCAAUUUUAGUGAGUGGCAAACGGGUGAGUAACACGUGGGAAUCUACCUAUCAGUACGGAAUAACAUUUGGAAACAGAUGCUAAUACCGUAUAUUCUCCAAGGAGGAAAGAUUUAUCGCUGAUAGAUGAGCCCGCGCAAGAUUAGGUAGUUGGUAGGGUAAUGGCCUACCGAGCCUACGAUCUUUAGCUGGUCUGAGAGGGCGACCGGCCACACUGGGACUGAGACACGGCCCAGACUCCUACGGGAGGCAGCAGUGGGGAAUAUUGCACAAUGGGCGAAAGCCUGAUGCAGCGACGCCGCGUGAGGGAUGAAGGUCUUCGGAUUGUAAACCUCUUUCAGUAGGGACGAAGCGAAAGUGACGGUACCUAAAGAAGAAGCACCGGCUAACUACGUGCCAGCCGCCGCAGUAA